rnacentral:Y_RNA from 1 species
GGCUGGUCCAAUGGUAGUGGGUUAUCAGAACUUAUUAACAUUAGUGUCACUAAAGAUGGUAUUCAACCCCCCACUGCUAAAUUUGACUGGCUAAAA